GACGAACGCUGGCGGCGUGCUUAACACAUGCAAGUCGAACGGAAAGGCCCUGCUUUUGUGGGGUGCUCGAAUGGCGAACGGGUGAGUAACACGUGAGUAACCUGCCCUUGACUUUGGGAUAACUUCAGGAAACUGGGGCUAAUACCGGAUAGGAGCUCCUGCUGCAUGGUGGGGGUUGGAAAGUUUCGGCGGUUGGGGAUGGACUCGCGGCUUAUCAGCUUGUUGGUGGGGUAGUGGCUUACCAAGGCUUUGACGGGUAGCCGGCCUGAGAGGGUGACCGGCCACAUUGGGACUGAGAUACGGCCCAGACUCCUACGGGAGGCAGCAGUGGGGAAUAUUGCACAAUGGGCGGAAGCCUGAUGCAGCAACGCCGCGUGCGGGAUGACGGCCUUCGGGUUGUAAACCGCUUUCGCCUGUGACGAAGCGUGAGUGACGGUAAUGGGUAAAGAAGCACCGGCUAACUACGUGCCAGCAGCCGCGGUGAUACGUAGGGUGCGAGCGUUGUCCGGAUUUAUUGGGCGUAAAGGGCUCGUAGGUGGUUGAUCGCGUCGGAAGUGUAAUCUUGGGGCUUAACCCUGAGCGUGCUUUCGAUACGGGUUGACUUGAGGAAGGUAGGGGAGAAUGGAAUUCCUGGUGGAGCGGUGGAAUGCGCAGAUAUCAGGAGGAACACCAGUGGCGAAGGCGGUUCUCUGGGCCUUUCCUGACGCUGAGGAGCGAAAGCGUGGGGAGCGAACAGGCUUAGAUACCCUGGUAGUCCACGCUGUAAACGGUGGGUACUAGGUGUGGGGUCCAUUCCACGGGUUCCGUGCCGUAGCUAACGCUUUAAGUACCCCGCCUGGGGAGUACGGCCGCAAGGCUAAAACUCAAAGGAAUUGACGGGGCCCCGCACAAGCGGCGGAGCAUGCGGAUUAAUUCGAUGCAACGCGUAGAACCUUACCUGGGUUUGACAUGGAUCGGGAGUGCUCAGAGAUGGGUGUGCCUCUUUUGGGGUCGGUUCACAGGUGGUGCAUGGCUGUCGUCAGCUCGUGUCGUGAGAUGUUGGGUUAAGUCCCGCAACGAGCGCAACCCUUGUUCACUGUUGCCAGCACGUUAUGGUGGGGACUCAGUGGAGACCGCCGGGGUCAACUCGGAGGAAGGUGGGGAUGACGUCAAGUCAUCAUGCCCCUUAUGUCCAGGGCUUCACGCAUGCUACAAUGGCUGGUACAGAGAGUGGCGAGCCUGUGAGGGUGAGCGAAUCUCGGAAAGCCGGUCUCAGUUCGGAUUGGGGUCUGCAACUCGACCUCAUGAAGUCGGAGUCGCUAGUAAUCGCAGAUCAGCAACGCUGCGGUGAAUACGUUCCCGGGGCU
rnacentral:rRNA from 1 species